UCCAUGAGCAGCCGCCCAGGUGUGCGGUGGGGGCGGGCAGGGAGAGCCAAACCUGGGGAAAGGUGGAGAAGAAACGGAGUCUCUUCCUCCAUACGGAAAGUCACCAUGGAUGCCAACCACCAAAACCACUUGGCUGUCCAGAUUCACAGGGGAGGCGACAGGAUCUAGAGGCCCUGAGGCCAUCCCAUGCUUCAUUGUAACCAGGAAACCUACCUACCCGGCAGUGCCGCACCUCAGCAGAAGGGUGCCCCAGAAAGCCACUGUGGGCUCUGGCUUGGCCGAGAAGUAGCAGCAUCCAUGUGGCUUACGAACUCUGGCUGCAGCCAUGUACUAUGUUAGAAAAUCACCCCCAUUUGCCAGCAUGAGACCCAAGCUGCAAAUAAGAGACAUGUCAAUUCAAUGAAUCAGAGGUAUUUUGCUUGUUUUUAAUGACUGAUUGUGAGGGAAUUAUAUUGCCAUGUGUUUGUAUGCCUUUAAAUAAGGAAUUGCAAUUUAUUUAUUUUUUUUAAACGAUGAAAACCCGUCUCCUCUCUUCUCCCUACAAAAGGACAUGGUUUUCCCACUUGGGUGAACAUUGCCUGCGCCGCUUGCUGAAGAAAGGGAGCAGUCUUGGCAAGCAUCUUAUUAGUCUAAAAAUAAAUUAUUCAGAAUGCAGGUUCAGAUACAGAUUGCAAGGAGAGAUAAUAGAAUUGGUUUUCCAAGCCUGAUCAUGCUAUGAAGACACGGUGUGUGCUUUUCAGGAAUCCACUUACGUGGAAUCAGCUCCGAUGAACACACGCUAGAAAUAAUAUUGCUGCCAUCCAGCUAGAGUCGGUGGUACCGCAUCCCCGAUGGCUUCAAGUGCCCACGGUCUCCACACAAGUGUGCAUAUGUAAAAGUAUAUGUUUGCUCAAGCAUUUCUCCAGCGAUGCAGGCUUCUCAUUGUUCUUUUAAGGAAAUAUCUUCCUGGCAGUGCGAGGGGCAUGUCUCACUUGAGAUUUCUCUCCCUCCCACCCUCCUGCCUCCUGAAACAGUUGACCACAUCAGCAGCCGACUCUAGUCCGUCAUGUGGCUUCUCAUGUGAUGCUGGGUCUGCGGCACUUUGGAGCAACAGCAUUUGUGACUCGGUACUCGUGGACAGAGGGGAGUGUUCAGGGACCGGGGAGACUUGGGAGGGGGCGGGGAGGCCAAUAAACCGAGAAACAUCAGAAAUAAAAGUCGCAUGAAGUAUUCAGAUCUCUGUACUCCUUUUUUUGCUUUGUUUUGAGAUUUGAUUUUUUAACUCUGCCUUUUUUUUAAUGGCUUGUAUCUGUUUUUUCCACCCCCACAGGCGCAGAGCUGCGCUGUUUUGUGUUUUUUUUUUUUUUAAUUCUUCUUCUUCUUCUUUUUCUUUUUUUUUUUUUCACAUUCUGAAGCCAGACCGUCUUUCCUCCCAGCUCCAGGGCUGCAUCGCCAUGGCACGCCACGCUUACCCUGGUUACCUGCGCUCUCUGCCGUCACCCUCCUGGGCUUCGCCGUGGUGCACACCGACCGGAAUGGUGUCUCUGUGCCCUGCAGAAGAAGGACCUGGUGGCGUAGCGUUGGCCAGGGUCUCCUCGCAGCUGGAUGAGGGGACUUGGAGGACAGGGUGAAGCUGGUUAGAGAGGAUGCCAAAGGACUGGGCAGGGGAGCUAGGAAUAUUACACGUCCAAUGCCCACCUCGCUGCGCAGGGGAGGGCGCGGCAUCUCCUCCUCCUCACGCCCAGCCCGGGCUGCUCUCGGGGAUUUGGUCAGGGGGCACCGCCCAGGCCGAGAUAUGGUGGCAUUUCCGAGAGUGGAGCUGAAGAUGGAUAAACAAGGCAUCUGAUGUGUCUGCCUGGCGAGGCAGAGCUGGAGAAGGGCAGAGUCAGGGGACGCGUGGAGACGGAGAUGCGGAAUGCCGUGGUCGUCUGCCGCUCGCUCUGCGCUUUGCGCUCUCUGUCUAGGGAGGAUGGCAUAAUUUAUAACCCUGCACAUGGAUGGAGGAACUGUAAACUGUAGCCUGGAUGUCCCCGGUGCUGACAAGGAAGCAACUGAUGGGCUAGGUGACUAUACAGUGUCCCCAGAGAAAACAGCAGCCGUGCAGCAUGAUUGAAAUGCAUGUCCACGCGGGCAGAGACUUGGGGGGAUUGCUGACCAUUUUGCACAGGAAGUCUGUCACCCUGCUGGAUCGGGCUUGAUUGCGGCUUGUGUUUUCGGCUCUAGCUCAACACCCAUUUCCUGACUAGCCAGAAAGCAUGGCCAGAGCAGCUGCUGGCAGAAUUUUCUUUUUAUUAUAAAAGCAAGCCCCCUCGGUUUUAACUCCUUGAAGUUCUGAAUGUUCUGUGCUGGGCUGGGGCUGAUUGUGGGUUUUUGUUUUCUUCUUCUUCUACAGAUCCCUGUAAACACAGCUGUAUUCAGUAUGGUGAAAAAUUCUAUCCCGUAAAUAGAAAUGUGAUCAAUUUAAUCAAAAUAAAUGUAUCCCAGAUGACUUUGA